AACCCUUGUCCUUAGUUACCAGCACGUUAUGGUGGGCACUCUAAGGAGGACUGCCGGUGGACAAACCGGAGGAAGGUGGGGAUGACGUCAAGUCAUCAUGGCCCUUAGGCCUGGGCUACACACGUGCUACAAUGGUCGGUACAAAGGGUUGCCAAGCCGCGAGGUGGAGCUAAUCCCAUAAAACCGAUCGUAGUCCGGAUCGCAGUCUGCAACUCGACUGCGUGAAGUCGGAAUCGCUAGUAAUCGUGAAUCAGAAUGUCACGGUGAAUACGUUCCCGGGCCUU
rnacentral:rRNA from 1 species